rnacentral:lncRNA from 1 species
AAUAGUUUAUUGUCUUGACAUUUACAGUACGUAAGAGUGUAUGUUAGGAUUUCAAAUGAUAAGAAAGCAAUUAAUCCUCAGUUUUGACUCUUUUAUGUCUUACCAACAUGGAGAGUUCUUGUCAGAUUCCAAAAGAGAUGCCGGAGCUUUCUAAUCUUUGAUUUGUUCUGCUGGAACAUUCAAGAUACGGUGCGAAGCAAACGCCACCGCCCUUCCAGAAACGUAAGGCUCGCCUCUUUCGUGCGACAGCAUGCAACCGCGUUAUUGGCUCGUCGAGAAAGCCGGAGGACGACGGCUGCUGAAUUCCGUGAGCGUCCGGCAUGAUCGAAGCACAACGUGAAAUGGAUUGGUUUCAGGAACGGUGAGGGCUCAAAGCGUACGUCGCCGUCCUCCUGCCUCCUCUACAGUCAACGAAGAUUACUCAACCCAACUUUGUUUGUACUCUCCAAGACAGCGAUGUCGAAAGCAACUCCAUCGAGAGGAAGAGUUGGCUCGCCGUUGAAUCUUCUCGUAGCGAACGAGGCAGGAAGCUGCAACUGACGUAGGAAUCAUGCGCUUCCGUCUCUGAGAACACAAGAAACAGGUAAUGCCAUAGAAUUCAUAAUGUGAGAGCAUUCUUCCGUCCCAAGCAAGCUAGUUUUUGUCAUUGUCAAUUCUAGAAGAGAAUCGACUGGAAUUGGUUUGGACUUCUGAUGGCAUUAAUUAUCACUUGUCGAUUGAAAGAAUUCGUGCUUCUUUUGACAUUGUCAUAUGAGCAUUGCUUCGCCCUUUGUGCAGGGAUGAUGACUAGCAAUCUUCCCCAGCACGUGUCGGCCG